GCACUAGUGGUUCAGUGGUAGAAUUACUGAUUGCCAUUCAGUAGGCUCGGGUUCGAUUCCCGGCUAGUGCA
rnacentral:tRNA from 1 species